rnacentral:rRNA from 1 species
GGUUAAGCGACUAAGCGUACACGGUGGAUGCCCUGGCAGUCAGAGGCGAUGAAGGACGUGCUAAUCUGCGAUAAGCGUCGGUAAGGUGAUAUGAACCGUUAUAACCGGCGAUUUCCGAAUGGGGAAACCCAGUGUGUUUCGACACACUAUCAUUAACUGAAUCCAUAGGUUAAUGAGGCGAACCGGGGGAACUGAAACAUCUAAGUACCCCGAGGAAAAGAAAUCAACCGAGAUUCCCCCAGUAGCGGCGAGCGAACGGGGAGGAGCCCAGAGCCUGAAUCAGUGUGUGUGUUAGUGGAAGCGUCUGGAAAGGCGCGCGAUACAGGGUGACAGCCCCGUACACAAAAAUGCACAUACUGUGAGCUCGAUGAGUAGGGCGGGACACGUGGUAUCCUGUCUGAAUAUGGGGGGACCAUCCUCCAAGGCUAAAUACUCCUGACUGACCGAUAGUGAACCAGUACCGUGAGGGAAAGGCGAAAAGAACCCCGGCGAGGGGAGUGAAAAAGAACCUGAAACCGUGUACGUACAAGCAGUGGGAGCACGCUUCGGCGUGUGACUGCGUACCUUUUGUAUAAUGGGUCAGCGACUUAUAUUCUGUAGCAAGGUUAACCGAAUAGGGGAGCCGAAGGGAAACCGAGUCUUAACUGGGCGUUAAGUUGCAGGGUAUAGACCCGAAACCCGGUGAUCUAGCCAUGGGCAGGUUGAAGGUUGGGUAACACUAACUGGAGGACCGAACCGACUAAUGUUGAAAAAUUAGCGGAUGACUUGUGGCUGGGGGUGAAAGGCCAAUCAAACCGGGAGAUAGCUGGUUCUCCCCGAAAGCUAUUUAGGUAGCGCCUCGUGAAUUCAUCUCCGGGGGUAGAGCACUGUUUCGGCAAGGGGGUCAUCCCGACUUACCAACCCGAUGCAAACUGCGAAUACCGGAGAAUGUUAUCACGGGAGACACACGGCGGGUGCUAACGUCCGUCGUGAAGAGGGAAACAACCCAGACCGCCAGCUAAGGUCCCAAAGUCAUGGUUAAGUGGGAAACGAUGUGGGAAGGCCCAGACAGCCAGGAUGUUGGCUUAGAAGCAGCCAUCAUUUAAAGAAAGCGUAAUAGCUCACUGGUCGAGUCGGCCUGCGCGGAAGAUGUAACGGGGCUAAACCAUGCACCGAAGCUGCGGCAGCGACACUAUGUGUUGUUGGGUAGGGGAGCGUUCUGUAAGCCUGUGAAGGUGUACUGUGAGGUAUGCUGGAGGUAUCAGAAGUGCGAAUGCUGACAUAAGUAACGAUAAAGCGGGUGAAAAGCCCGCUCGCCGGAAGACCAAGGGUUCCUGUCCAACGUUAAUCGGGGCAGGGUGAGUCGACCCCUAAGGCGAGGCCGAAAGGCGUAGUCGAUGGGAAACAGGUUAAUAUUCCUGUACUUGGUGUUACUGCGAAGGGGGGACGGAGAAGGCUAUGUUGGCCGGGCGACGGUUGUCCCGGUUUAAGCGUGUAGGCUGGUUUUCCAGGCAAAUCCGGAAAAUCAAGGCUGAGGCGUGAUGACGAGGCACUACGGUGCUGAAGCAACAAAUGCCCUGCUUCCAGGAAAAGCCUCUAAGCAUCAGGUAACAUCAAAUCGUACCCCAAACCGACACAGGUGGUCAGGUAGAGAAUACCAAGGCGCUUGAGAGAACUCGGGUGAAGGAACUAGGCAAAAUGGUGCCGUAACUUCGGGAGAAGGCACGCUGAUAUGUAGGUGAAGCGACUUGCUCGUGGAGCUGAAAUCAGUCGAAGAUACCAGCUGGCUGCAACUGUUUAUUAAAAACACAGCACUGUGCAAACACGAAAGUGGACGUAUACGGUGUGACGCCUGCCCGGUGCCGGAAGGUUAAUUGAUGGGGUUAGCGGUAACGCGAAGCUCUUGAUCGAAGCCCCGGUAAACGGCGGCCGUAACUAUAACGGUCCUAAGGUAGCGAAAUUCCUUGUCGGGUAAGUUCCGACCUGCACGAAUGGCGUAAUGAUGGCCAGGCUGUCUCCACCCGAGACUCAGUGAAAUUGAACUCGCUGUGAAGAUGCAGUGUACCCGCGGCAAGACGGAAAGACCCCGUGAACCUUUACUAUAGCUUGACACUGAACAUUGAGCCUUGAUGUGUAGGAUAGGUGGGAGGCUUUGAAGUGUGG